rnacentral:lncRNA from 1 species
AACACACAAUAGAUACCUAUCUAAAAACUACUUAACAAAACUCUAUAAAAUUAUUAGUUCCUCUGACCCACCUAAUUAAUCAUUACUGCAUUAUCGAAUGUAGGUUCUAUUGAUUCUGGUUCUAAAUUCAAAUUUUUCUCCUCCUCCAAUCUAUCCAUCGACUCCUUCCUCAACUGGUUUGAUAGAUCUUUAUUAUACUCAUCCAAUUUAUGGACUUAAGCCUCCAAUUUCAAGAUCUGGGCAUCAGAGAGUUCCA